CAAUAGCGUAUAUUAAAGUUGUUGCAGUUAAAAAGCUCGUAGUUGGAUCUGUGGCGUACGGUGUGUUCCGGGCACUUGUUGUCUGAGUAACCUGCUGUUGCCAUCCUUGGGUGGAACCUGUGUGGCAUUAGGUUGUCGUGCAGGGGAUGCCCAUCAUUUACUGUGAAAAAAUUAGAGUGUUCAAAGCAGGCUUAUGCCGUUGAAUAUAUUAGCAUGGAAUAAUGAGAUAGGACUUUUUUGCUAUUUUGUUGGUUUGCGCAAAGAGGUAAUGAUUAAUAGGGACAGUUGGGGGUACUCGUAUUCCAUUGUCAGAGGUGAAAUUCUUGGAUUUUUGGAAGACGAACUACUGCGAAAGCAUUUACCAAGGAUGUUUUCAUUAA
rnacentral:rRNA from 1 species